UUAAAGGGGAAUUGGGAGAGCCAGGACAGGCACUAGGAUGGACCAUUCAGAGGUCUAGAUCCAGCAUGGAGUCAGUGAGGGUGAGAAGACUUCAGCGGAGAGGGAGAUGGAAAGAACCAAAUCUGCCAGCAUGAGGGCUCAGGCAGGAGGCGCCUGCAACAAAGCAACCGAGAUCCCGCAGCUGAGCCGCUCCCAUCAUGAAGCCUCUGGCCUACACAAUGGGGAAGAUGAAACCAGCCAGCCUCAUCAAUCGUCCCUGGGCAGGCCAGUCUCCUCUUCAGUCUCAUGUUCAGGGUUUGCAUAAUUAGGCGCCUGAUGGAGGCGAAUGUCUGCCCCACCGAAGGUCGUCAUUGUGCAGCACUCUGUCGGGGAGCUGUGAGGUACACAGCAGCCCGGGCCUGCUCCGAACAGCAGCAGAGCCUGUGAGGAGGAGCCUGGCUUUUGCAGGAGCGCAUUAAUAAGGUUGGAAACCCGUGGCUUGGGAAUCAGAGCCAAUCGCAGUCAUGUCAGAAAUGGAAAUAAGAAACUCCUGGAUGAAAUGGAGGAGCCAGCAACCCUCUAACCAGAGGUUCUGAAUUUCAAUUUGGGGUCCACUCUGCAAAAGCUGAGGGCUAUUGAGCAAAUCCUUCAACCCCUCAGUGUCUUUGUUUCCUGGACUGCAAAAUGGUGGUGACAUACCAGUUCCCCUUAUCUUAGAGACCAAUCGGUUUACACUUUGAAGAGCUCACGGUGUGUUCAGGGCACUAUUCUAAGGGUGUUACAUGUGUAUUAACUCUAUAAUCAGCAACAACCCUAUGCAAGUUUGCCCUUUGGCAUUCUUCAAGGGCUUUGGCUGAUCCUGCCUUCUGGCUGCUCCUGCUCCUCCUGCCUGAUCCCCACCUCUGGACCCCAGCCUGGGCUGUCCUCAACUGUCUGGAAACUACUCAGAAUGUUAGAUCUUGAAUCACCUCUUGCAGCCACCACAGUGUGGACUCAAUCCUUUUUCCAUUCAUGUUCUCCUGUUCUGCAACUGGGCUGAAAUGACUGCAUGGCGAUGAGGGAGAGAAGACUGAGUCUCAAGUGGGGACGCAAUUUGUGGAAAACAAUAGGCCCCAGGGCAAGGAGCGAAAUGGGCAAUUAGCCCAGGUCUGUGUUGAAGUCAGUCUCUUGGACUUACCUGGAAGCUCUCUAAGGCAGGGAUAUAUUCAGAUCAUCUUUUCAUUUUUUUAUUUCCUUCCUCCUCCCAACUCUCCAUGUUCACCCCUCCCCAAAAAAACUAGUAAAGCUCAUUUGCAAUAUAUUUGUUGCUUUGAAUUUUUUUUUUUAUUUAUUAUUAUUAUUUUGAGACACAGUCUCACUCUGUCACCCAGGCUGGAGUGCAGUGGCACGAUCUCGGCUCACUGCAAGCUCCGCUCCCCCCUCCCCCACACCUCCCUCAAAGAGGUUUCAGUGUGACAAGGAAGAGGUCACACACACCCAGGGAGCUAGAAGUAACGCAGAAAAUACAGACUGCUUCAAGAAAAGUACGAAGGCUGGGCUAAACUGGUUUCACUUCCAAGUGAUUGGGUGAUGGCCCCUAUGGGUCAGCCUGGCCUGAAAAAGAAAUCUCCCCAUUGGGGCUCCAGCUUGUCCCAUUCAGCCCUUAACACAGCUCUGAGCUGAGGCAGGAGUCAGCAUCACCAGCACUUUUUGUUUUACAGGGUUUUUUCCCUUCAAUUCUCCAUUUGUCUUGGUCUGCAGGUGCUCUUCUCCCUGACCCUCCUUUCAUAUUCAUCCUAAAUGACAAGACCUUUCCUUAAAAACAAGCAUCUUCUCCUCCCAUGGCAAGACAAGGCUGCCCUUUGUGUGUUGUUUUCAUUAAUUUGUUGAUACUUGUUUUCAAGCUACAUUUUAUUGGACUUGUGCUUACUUUGCUGAAGCACAAAGGUUGUUUAAGCAGAAGGGCACAAGAAAGUGGAAAACUCCUGACCUCAAGUGAUCCACCCACCUCGGCCUCCCAAAGUGCUGAGAUUACAGGCGUGAGCCACCACACCCGAUCACGGGUCUUCCUGCUUCUGUGAUCACCUUCUCAUAACCUUGAGACCACUGCACAUUGAUGAAGUUCAGUUAAUCUACAAUGACUGUAGCCAUCUGAGUGACCCCAGGUGAGACCAAUAGAACUGUCGAACUAGCCAACGCACAGCAUUGUGAGAAACAAUAAAUCAUUGUUUUAAGCCAUUAUGUUUUGUGGUGGUUUGUUACAAACACAUAACUAAAACAACCUCAAAAUCUGGA
rnacentral:lncRNA from 1 species